GUGGGGAAUAUUAGGCAAUGGGCGAAAGCCUGACCUAGCAACGCCGCGUGAAGGAAGAAGGCCUUCGGGUUGUAAACUUCUUUUAUGAGGGACGAAGGACGUGACGGUACCUCAUGAAUAAGCCACGGCUAACUACGUGCCAGCAGCCGCGGUAAUACGUAGGUGGCGAGCGUUGUCCGGAUUUACUGGGUGUAAAGGGCGCGUAGGCGGACUGGCAAGUCAGAUGUGAAAUACAGGGGCUCAACCCCUGAACUGCAUUUGAAACUGUUGGUCUUGAGUAUCGGAGAGGCAAGCGGAAUUCCUAGUGUAGCGGUGAAAUGCGUAGAUAUUAGGAUGAACACCAGUGGCGAAGGCGGCCACCUGGACCGGUAUUGACGCUGAGGUGCGAAAGCGUGGGGAGCAAACAGGAUUAGAUACCCCUGUAGUCC
rnacentral:rRNA from 1 species